ensembl:lncRNA
CACACUCCUUGCAGGAGGCCAUUCAGUGAUUUCCCUCAGCAGCAUAGCUGUCGUGUGUUACAAAUAUUAGUAGGAAAAUAUGGCUAAUCUAUGGCUGAAGGACUCAAUGGCCGGCAUUCCAUAGACCAGCUCCCUGGCAUCAACAUGGGACAACCAGCCCUGGUCUCUCCUAGCAUGAACAUGGGACAACCAGCCCUGGUCUCUCCUAGCAUGAACAUGGGACAACCAGCCCUGGUCUCUCCUAGCAUGAACAUGGGACAACCAGCCCUGGUCUCUCCUAGCAUGAACAUGGGACAACCAGCCCUGGUCUCUCCUAGCAUCAACAUGGGACAACCAGCCCUGGUCUCUCCUAGCAUCAACAUGGGACAACCAGCCCUGGUCUCUCCUAGCAUCAAAAUGGGACAACCAACCCUGGUCUCUCCUAGCAUGAACAUGGGACAACCAACCCUGGUCUCUCCUAGCAUGAACAUGGGACAAACAACCCUGGCCUCCUUUAGUUCACAAUGAACAUCAGCAUGAGACUACGUGUGUGCGCGUGUGAUGUGGAAUGUGAUUCACAGAGACAUCUGCUCCACACCUACAUUUGCCAGACACAACCACCUCUACCAUAACAUGGUCAACCGGUGGGAUGACACGGUAUCCUGGGCAUGUAUCGACAGCUCAGGAAUGAGCCUGCAAUUCUGGACUAUGGAACGGUGCAUAGGGGAGCCAGUGAAUUCAUCAGGCACAUUUAAACCUAACAAGGGGCUGUGGUUAAUGAUUCAGUAUCAUGUCAUGAUUGGCUGUGUUCUUACCCUUCUUUUUAACACCACUGUUCUAUGUGAGAACGCAAGCUGCCAAACGAGCCUAAUCUGUCAUACAACUGAGAUGAUUUCCAGACAGUUAAGAACUUAAUUUGUCCUCAAAGUGCAGCUAAAUGCCUGUCACAUAUUGUCUCCAUAAGGACUUCACACUCUUAGGGGUGUGGUCUGGCCCAAGGGCAUUGGUGGUUUUGAAUUGAAGGUGCUGGCUUAGGCAAUUACUCACAGCAAAGAGUGUGAUCCCAAGUUUAUGUGCCAGUGAAAGGGGUGUGGAGGACAGGGAGAGAGUUUCUUAGGAUUGUUCUGAGCUGAAGGAAAACAUGUCAGAGAAAAGGGCAUAAAAACUGGAAAUGUACACAGACAUCACCGCACUGAGAUAUGGUGACACAUGAUUGUUGCUUAAUGGAUUACUCCCCUUUACAAUAAAUCAAAAUGUAAACACAGCUGUUGUCUUUCAGUCACUGGGUUAGGCUGUGCCAGGUCCUUAAAACCAAUGAUCAGUGUAAUCAAGGAUUGACAUUAAUGUAGUUUUAAAAUGCAACCGCCUUUUGCGCUUGUUUGGUCAAUUCUCAGUGUAACAUUGUGUUCCUGCCGCCCUGAACAUCCAUUAUAGAAGCCUAGUUCUGAGAUUCUCUAUAAUAUCAUGUGUGGUGACUUGCUAAGGGCUGUGAAACAUUAUUACAUGAAAAGUUUUUCCAGUUCUAUUCAUACCGUUAUUGAAACGGUUAUUUAAUUAUAUUCACACUGGUUUUGCCAAUAUAUGCAUUGGGAUUGUGAUAGAUAAACUUGCUAACAUUCACAAGUGAAUAGCAGGCUCACUUUUGACCUGGGUGGAGCAAUAAACAAUAAACAUCUUGCCAGAUUGUCUUAGGGUCAUUGACCCCAAACACACUGCUGUAGAGAGUCUUCAUCCAACUGAGCAUGGAUUUCACAACACCGAAGACAAGACAGAACGCCCCGAAACAAGCAGGAACCGAAUAUGGCUGACAGAGAAUCACCAAGGAGACUAUCCAAUAUCUUCCACCAUGCAUUGCAGGCUUUAGGAAGUCAUUGCAUGUAAAGGAUAUGCGAAACUGUCCAAAUACUUCACUGUGCCCUGUGCAUUUUGGGGUUCCCU